rnacentral:lncRNA from 1 species
GAUCCCAGGUCUGUAUUGCCUGCUGUCCAAGAUCUGACCGUAUUUGCACCUGAAAGUUUUCCAGUUUUCUACCUCUUUGCUUGAGAGAAGAAAAAUCUUCAACCUUCUAGUCACAACCAACGGCCUCACUCGCAAUUUUCAAGCAAUCACCCUCCAGUACACGUCCACAGACACAGAAACUUCUUAACAUGUCCAAGGACACACCGUGUGACCUGACCUCUGGAAUGGCUUACUUGGCAUCGUGUUUCCUCGGAAGUGGGACUCACUCCCCUGCCUCAGGACCUAGGGUCAGCGGGGUGUGCAGUAUUUUUCCCUUGACCUUUUUGUCAUCUCCCUCGAUGUGGAAGAAGCUGGAAAGCCCGCACACAAGAUCUACGAUCGCCAUUAUUACGUUUCUCAGAAGAAGGAACUCUUGAGGUAUAGUUGCCUCCUGGGGACAGCAGACAUGAUAUCAAGAUUCAGAGGACAUUACUGUCUUAUUUCUGUCCGGCCCACUGAGCGGCAGAACGCACAUCCUGUAGCAAAGCAAUGCCCACAAAGGGAUAGACUCCAGGUGGCCACAUUUCCCUAAUUCAGGUGGGACAUUGUUCCCCGGAUCCAUUGUUCCGUGGAGCUGGCUGAUGGUGGGAGCUUGUUUUCCUCUGGGCUUGGUCCCUGAAAGCAGGAAGUGAGCUGUUUAUCCAGACAAUGCAAAGAAACAGAAACAAAGGAUCCGGGUAUCUGAGUACACGUUUUCUUUUUCAAAUGAUGGGAAAUACAAAAACAGCAACACAUUUUGCUCUGAGGGGAAAUAGAACCAAAAAUUUCAAGGCCACCUGCUGUAAAUGAACUCACAGCACAACUAGCAGCUGUAAGAGUGGCUUAGGAGGAAGUUUUCUAGAAAAAAAUAAAGUUUUGGUCAAAACUCCUUUGCA